AGCUCAGGGGAUAGAGCACUGGUUUCCGGAGCCAGGUGUCGCAGGUUCGAAUCCUGCC
rnacentral:tRNA from 1 species